GGGCCGCAACUGACGCUGAGGAGCGAAAGCAUGGGGAGCGAACAGGAUUAGAUACCCUGGUAGUCCAUGCCGUAAACGUUGGGCACUAGGUGUGGGACUCAUUCCACGAGUUCCGUGCCGCAGCUAACGCAUUAAGUGCCCCGCCUGGGGAGUACGGCCGCAAGGCUAAAACUCAAAGGAAUUGACGGGGGCCCGCACAAGCGGCGGAGCAUGCGGAUUAAUUCGAUGCAACGCGAAGAACCUUACCAAGGCUUGACAUGCACCGGACGCUGCCAGAGAUGGUGGUUCCGCAAGGUCGGUGCACAGGUGGUGCAUGGUUGUCGUCAGCUCGUGUCGUGAGAUGUUGGGUUAAGUCCCGCAACGAGCGCAACCCUUGUCCUAUGUUGCCAGCGGGUUAUGCCGGGGACUCAUGGGAGACUGCCGGGGUCAACUCGGAGGAAGGCGGGGAUGACGUCAAAUCAUCAUGCCCCUUAUGUCUUGGGCUUCACGCAUGCUACAAUGGCCGGUACAGAGGGCUGCGAUACCGUAAGGUGGAGCGAAUCCCAAAAAGCCGGUCUCAGUUCGGAUUGGGGUCUGCAACUCGACCCCAUGAAGUCGGAGUCGCUAGUAAUCGCAGAUCAGCAACGCUGCGGUGAAUACGUUCCCGGGCCUUGUACACACCGCCCGUCAAGUCACGAAAGUUGGUAACACCCGAAGCUCACGGCCCAAC
rnacentral:rRNA from 1 species